CCUACGGGGGGCAGCAGUGAGGAAUAUUGGUCAAUGGGCGCGAGCCUGAACCAGCCAAGUAGCGUGAAGGAUGACUGCCCUACGGGUUGUAAACUUCUUUUAUCAAGGAAUAAAGUGAGGCACGUGUGCCUUUUUGUAUGUACUUUAUGAAUAAGGAUCGGCUAACUCCGUGCCAGCAGCCGCGGUAAUACGGAGGAUCCGAGCGUUAUCCGGAUUUAUUGGGUUUAAAGGGCGCGUAGAUGGGUUGUUAAGUCAGUUGUGAAAGUUUGCGGCUCAACCGUAAAAUUGCAAUUGAUACUGGCAGCCUUGAGUAAAGUUGAGGUAGGCGGAAUUCGUGGUGUAGCGGUGAAAUGCUUAGAUAUCACGAAGAACUCCGAUUGCGAAGGCAGCUUACUAAACUGUGACUGACAUUGAUGCUCGAAAGUGUGGGUAUCAAACAGGAUUAGAUACCCGAGUAGUC
rnacentral:rRNA from 1 species